UGGAACAUUUCCACACUGAGACAAACACCAGCAGCACUUUAAUUGUUUGCUCUACUCUUCCCUAGAGAACAUUACGGUCUCCCGUGUCCAAAAGGAAGAUAUAAAAUCCGUGACAUUCCUCAAAAGAAACAUUUCCUUCAUCCAGGAAUAUAAACCAAAUAUUUCCCUAGUAGGUCCUCGUCAAAGACCACUCAGCAGCUUCUAGGCUUUCUCUGCCUGGAUUUCCGAACAUGAACCACAGCUGAAAAUAGGAGGAAACAGCUACAUAUGAGCACAUAGCCAGGAUACGAUGCAUCCCACUCACCCCUCUGCAGUGAUUAUAGAUGGAACUGAAGAUGAUGCACUUAGACCAACCUUUACAAAGCCAAAUACAGGUGAGGUCAGUGCAACCCUCCUUUCUGAACCCCCAGGCUCUGCUGUAACCAAUUAAUAUCCUAUCCUGAAUGAGUCAGCUUAGAUUAUUAUAUAUUGUUAAGGAACAUAGACAUUUCUGGUCUGGCUGUGCUUUUAUCCAUUUAGCAUUGAUAUUUACAGGACUAUUUAACUGACCUGCUAGCGGUUUCGUUAUCAAAUGUCCUUCUGCAAUCCUUAUAUUUCCCGGAAAUGUAAAGGUGAGCAAGAGAGAUCUGCCCUGCCUCGAACUUAUACUGGCAUCAGCAGAUGCUAACUUUGGCAAAGUUAAGUUACAUGAUGCACUUCUGGAAAGGUAAAAUUAAGACCCGAAAUUAAUUUGAUAGAGGACUGAAUCAAAUUCAGUUGGUUUUACGUGAAAAAUAAAGUGGGGGAAAAUGCUUGGAAAAUCUAACAGUAUUUGUGCUCAGAUGCUUAAAAACAA